GAGCAAUGAUGAAAAAAGGCUUUACUACGGACCUUUAUAACUAUGAAGGUUUCUACACUUGAUCUGAGCUCA
rnacentral:snoRNA from 1 species